AAUCCUCCGGACAGAAUAACUCGCAAACGGAAAAAUACCAUAUGGGCUCUGACGAAAGGUUAUCGCCAGAGCGUGCCCACCUCCAUUAGGUAGUUGGUGAAUAUGUCCACCCAAGCCGACCCUCCAUAACCUGGUUGAAAAAAAUGAUCAACCAAACUGGAAUAAACCGGCCAGACCCCUACGGAGAGGCAGCAGUGGGGAAUCGUAGACAAUGGGAGCAACCCCUGGCUAGACAAGCCACAUGAGUGAUGAAGGCCUUAAGGUUGUAAAACUCUUCAGCUGAGAAAAUAAUGACGCUAACAGACAAAAAGAUAGGCUAAUCCAUGCCAGCAGCCGCAGUAAAACGGAGAUGGAUAACGUAGUUCGAAAAAAAUGGGGUAAAGCGCACGUAGGCGGACCAGAAAGUUGGGGGUGAAAUCCCGGGGCUCAACCCCGGAACUGCCUACAAAACUAUUGGUCUGGAGUGCGAAAGAGGUGAGUGGAAUUCCGAGUGUAGAGGUGAAAUUCGUAGAUAUUCGGAGGAACACCAGUGGCGAAGGCGGCUCACUGGCUCGAUACUGACGCUGAGGUGCGAAAGCGUGGGGAGCAAACAGGAUUAGAUACCCAGGUAGUCCAAGGGCGAAUUCCACAGUGGAUAUCAAGCGAAUCGAUACCGUCGACCUCGAGGGGGGGCCCGGUACCCAGCUUUUGCCCCCUUUGUUUAGAAA
rnacentral:rRNA from 1 species